rnacentral:rRNA from 1 species
UCGCGAAAACUUGUCAAUGGGGGAAACCCCGAACAGGGAAGUCCAAGUGCAUGCGUUUUACGUAUGCUGUUCGGUUGCCUAAAAAGCAGCCGAAGUAAGGGCUGGGUAAGACAGGUGCCAGCCGCCGCGGUAAUACCUGCAGCCCAAGUGGUAAUCGUUAUUAUUGAGCCUAAAGCGUCCGUAGCCGGUUUGGUAAACCCCCGGGUAAAUCGGGCAGCUUAACUGUCCGAACACCGGGGGGACUGCCAGACUUGGGACCGGGAGAGGUCGGAGGUACUUCAGGGGUAGGGGCUAAAUCCUGUAAUCCUUGAAGGACCACCAGUGGCGAAGGCGUCCGACUAGAACGGAUCCGACGGUAAGGGACGAAACCCUGGGGCGCAAACCGGAUUAGAUACCCGGGUAGUCCAGGGCGUAAACGCUGCAGGCUUGGUGUUGGGGACCCUACGAGGGUGCUCAGUGCCGGAGUGAAGAUGUUAAGCCUGCCGCUUGGGGAGUAUGUCCGCAAGGAUGAAACUUAAAGGAAUUGGCGGGAGAGCACAGCAACGGGAGGAGCGUGCGGUUCAAUUGGAUUCAACGG